CCGCGCUCACACGACUGACCCCCCGCGGACCCGCACGGUUUGGUUACACUGUUAAUGAUCACAGAAAUGGGCCUAUAUAGUCAACUUUAGGCCUAGUCUACUACUACCAAUCUGUGGUAUUAUAAGCAUUUCAACUGCCAGAGAAAUGGAUGGAAAUGACCGAUGGACAAAUAUCAACCUGCUAUUGAUAACUAGGCGAUGUGAGGGUGUUUUGCGAAUAUCAGACAACGACUGUUUCUAAACUUCAUGUGCAGCAGAACGCUCUCCUCUCUCUCCUUGCGCCCUCUGACCUGUAGGUGUUCUCUUUUCUCAUAUGGCAGAGAGGGAGAGAGACAGCGAGUGAGCGAGAGAGUUAGAACCCUCAAUGUCUCAAAUCCUAAUCCUGCGAUAAGAAACAGCAGCCUUAGUUGACCGUUACAGAAGCCCGCACCUUCAGCAUGGAGUCAGCAGGAGCAGCCGCCACCCCUCUUCCAUCGAUGGAGGAACGUGUCCUCCAUCACACCACUGUCCUCCAUCGGAUUCGGUCAGCGAUGGACCAGAUGAUGUAGAGAAU
rnacentral:lncRNA from 1 species